UCAACCAACUGAGCAACAGUCCACUGAAGUUCAGAAGACUCGACAAUAUGAUCACUGGAACCAUGCUGAAGGUCGUGCUUGUUCUUGGCUGCCUCCUGAGUCUCACUCUGGCUAGACCGAACCACAUGCGAGUUGCCCGCUCUGAUUCGUCCUCUUCCUCAGAGUCCAACGAG